GACGAACGCUGGCGGCGUGCUUAACACAUGCAAGUCGAACGGAAAGGCCCUGCUUUUGUGGGGUGCUCGAGUGGCGAACGGGUGAGUAACACGUGAGUAACCUGCCCUUGACUUUGGGAUAACUUCAGGAAACUGGGGCUAAUACCGGAUAGGAGCUCCUGCUGCAUGGUGGGGGUUGGAAAGUUUCGGCGGUUGGGGAUGGACUCGCGGCUUAUCAGCUUGUUGGUGGGGUAGUGGCUUACCAAGGCUUUGACGGGUAGCCGGCCUGAGAGGGUGACCGGCCACAUGGGGACUGAGAUACGGCCCAGACUCCUACGGGAGGCAGCAGUGGGGAAUAUUGCACAAUGGGCGGAAGCCUGAUGCAGCAACGCCGCGUGCGGGACGACGGCCUUCGGGUUGUAAACCGCUUUCGCCUGUGACGAAGCGUGAGUGACGGUAAUGGGUAAAGAAGCACCGGCUAACUACGUG
rnacentral:rRNA from 1 species